GUCGGGUUCGCGAUGAAGCGAUUGACGCGCUCACCGAUCACUGCGGUGACGCGCUUUCCGUCGCUGAGCAUCUGCACCCCGCGACGCUUGAACUCCUU
rnacentral:sRNA from 1 species